UACGUAGGGUGCAAGCGUUGUCCGGAAUUAUUGGGCGUAAAGAGCUCGUAGGCGGCUUGUCGCGUCGGCUGUGAAAACCUGGGGCUCAACCCCGGGCCUGCAGCCGUUACGGGCAAGCUAGAAUUCGGUAGGGGAGACUGGAAUUCCUGGUGUAGCGGUGAAAUGCGCAGAUAUCAGGAGGAACACCGGUGGCGAAGGCGGGUCUCUGGGCCGAUACUGACGCUGAGGAGCGAAAGCGUGGGGAGCGAACAGG
rnacentral:rRNA from 1 species